GAUGAAGAACGCAGCGAAAUGCGAUAAGUAAUGUGAAUUGCAGAAUUCCGUGAAUCAUCGAAUCUUUGAACGCAUAUUGCGCCCUCUGGUAUUCCGGGGGGCAUGCCUGUCCGAGCGUCAUUACAACCCUCAAGCUCAGCUUGGUGUUGGGCCCCGCCGCCCCGGCGGGCCCUAAAGUCAGUGGCGGUGCCGUCCGGCUCCGAGCGUAGUAAUUCUUCUCGCUCUGGAGGUCCGGUCGUGUGCUCGCCAGCAACCCCCAAUUUUUUUCAGGUUGACCUCGGAUCAGGUAGGGAUACCCGCUGAACUUAAGCAUAUCAAUAAGCGGAGGA
rnacentral:misc_RNA from 1 species